rnacentral:rRNA from 1 species
UACGAAGGGGGCUAGCGUUACUCGGAUUGACUGGGCGUAAAGAGCUCGUAGGCGGCUUGUCACGUCGGGUGUGAAAGCCCGGGGCUUAACCCCGGGUCUGCAUUCGAUACGGGCAGGCUAGAGUGUGGUAGGGGAGAUCGGAAUUCCUGGUGUAGCGGUGAAAUGCGCAGAUAUCAGGAGGAACACCGGUGGCGAAGGCGGAUCGCUGGGCCAUUACUGACGCUGAGGAGCGAAAGCGUGGGGAGCGAACAGG